rnacentral:rRNA from 1 species
UACAGAGGGUGCGAGCGUUAAUCGGAAUUACUGGGCGUAAAGCGCACGUAGUCGGCUUUGCAAGUCGGGUGUGAAAUCCCCGGGCUCAACCUGGGAACUGCAUCCGAGACUGCAUUGCUAGAGUAUGGGAGAGGGAAGCGGAAUUUCUGGUGUAGCAGUGAAAUGCGUAGAUAUCUGGAGGAACACCGGUGGCGAAGGCGGCAUCCUGGACCAAUACUGACGCUGAGGAGCGAAAGCCAGGGGAGCAAACGGG